UGCAGGGCUCAUUUGUCAAGACAGGGAGAGUUUUAUGGUAAGACUGGUUGGGAAUACUACUACUCAAGGUGUUGUGGAGGUCUUCUUGGCUGAUAGAUGGGGAACGAUAGAUCCAACCCACUGGAAUAACAACGCAGCAAAGUCGGUGUGCAGACAUUUACAAAAACCGAGUCGCUUUGGAUUUGCUGUUAAAUCGAGUAUAUUUCACCAAGAAAAUUCACACCAGUGGCUUUCUACGGCAAAUUGUGAUGGGAACGAACCCACUUUGUUUGACUGCAAACUGCUUGUAUCUGGAAU